rnacentral:rRNA from 1 species
GUCGCACGAGAAAGGGGCUUCGGCUCUGGGUAAAGUGGCGCACGGGUGAGUAACACGUGAAUUAUCUACCUCCGAGUGGGGAAUAACCUAGAGAAAUCUGGGCUAAUACCGCAUAACACUUACGAGUCAAAGCAGCAAUGCGCUUGGAGAGGAGUUCGCGGCCGAUUAGCUAGUUGGCGGGGUAAUGGCCCACCAAGGCGAUGAUCGGUAUCCGGCCUGAGAGGGCGCACGGACACACUGGAACUGAAACACGGUCCAGACUCCUACGGGAGGCAGCAGUGGGGAAUUUUGCGCAAUGGGGGAAACCCUGACGCAGCAACGCCGCGUGGAGGAUGAAAUAUCAUGGUAUGUAAACUCCUUUCGAUGGGGAAGAUUAUGACGGUACCCAUAGAAGAAGCCCCGGCUAACUUCGUGCCAGCAGCCGCGGUAAUACGAGGGGGGCAAGCGUUGUUCGGAUUUAUUGGGCGUAAAGGGUGCGUAGGCGGUUUGGCAAGUCUUAUGUGAAAUCUUCGGGCUCAACCCGAAGUCUGCAUAAGAAACUGCCGGGCUUGAGUAUGGGAGAGGUGAGUGGAAUUUCCGGUGUAGCGGUGAAAUGCGUAGAUAUCGGAAGGAACACCUGUGGCGAAAGCGGCUCACUGGACCAUAACUGACGCUGAGGCACGAAAGCUAGGGGAGCAAACAGGAUUAGAUACCCUG